AUGCAAGUCGAGCGGGCGCCUUCGGGUGUCAGCGGCGGACGGGUGAGUAACGCGUGGGAACGUGCCCUCUGGUUCGGAAUAACUCAGGGAAACUUGAGCUAAUACCGGAUACGCCCUUUUGGGGAAAGGCUUGCUGCCGGAGGAUCGGCCCGCGUCUGAUUAGCUAGUUGGUGAGGUAACGGCUCACCAAGGCGACGAUCAGUAGCUGGUCUGAGAGGAUGAUCAGCCACACUGGGACUGAGACACGGCCCAGACUCCUACGGGAGGCAGCAGUGGGGAAUAUUGGACAAUGGGCGCAAGCCUGAUCCAGCCAUGCCGCGUGAGUGAUGAAGGCCUUAGGGUUGUAAAGCUCUUUUAUCCGGGACGAUAAUGACGGUACCGGAGGAAUAAGCCCCGGCUAACUUCGUGCCAGCAGCCGCGGUAAUACGAAGGGGGCUAGCGUUGCUCGGAAUCACUGGGCGUAAAGGGCGCGUAGGCGGCGUUUUAAGUCGGGGGUGAAAGCCUGUGGCUCAACCACAGAAUGGCCUUCGAUACUGGGACGCUUGAGUAUGGUAGAGGUUGGUGGAACUGCGAGUGUAGAGGUGAAAUUCGUAGAUAUUCGCAAGAACACCGGUGGCGAAGGCGGCCAACUGGACCAUUACUGACGCUGAGGCGCGAAAGCGUGGGGAGCAAACAGGAUUAGAUACCCU
rnacentral:rRNA from 1 species